AACCUAUACAACUAAACACAACAUUAUCAACCUGCUACAACAUUAUCAACCUAUACAACUAAACACAACAUUAUCAACCUGCUACAACAUUAUCAACCUAUACAACUAAACACAACAUUACCAACCUGCUACAACUCAACACAACAUUACCAACCUGCUACAACUAAAUACAACAUUAUCAACCUGCUACAACAUUAUCAACCUGUACAACUAAACACAACAUUAUCGACCUGCUACAACUAAACACAACAUUAUCGACCUGCUACAACUAAACACAACAUUACAACCUGCUACAACUAAACACAACAUUAUCGACCUGCUACAACUAAACACAACAUUAUCGACCUGCUACACAGAGAGGAACCAAGCAUAAAUGUAUUUUUCCAUUGAUUGAAAAUAGCUGUCACUGCAGGGGGAUGUUUGUAGCCAUCUUUUCAUUUUAUUUUCUCCUUCAUGUGGGAACAUCUAUAAUAUUAGACCCAUCUCUUUAUUCUCUUGAAUGACUUGUACAGACCAGGGUCUGUACCGACCCCGAGCUGGACUGAGGAGGUUUUAUACAGACCAGGGUCUGUAUCGACCCCGAGCUGGACUGAGGAGGUUUUAUUCAGACCAGGGUCUGUACCGACCCCGAGCUGGACUGAGGAGGUUUUAUACAGACCAGGGUCUGUAUCGACCCCGAGCUGGACUGAGGAGGUUUUAUACAGACCAGGGUCUGUACCGACCCCGAGCUGGACUGAGGAGGUUUUAUACAGACCAGGGUCUGUAUCGACCCCGAGCUGGACUGAGGAGGUUUUAUACAGACCAGGGUCUGUACCGACCCAGAGCUGGACUGAGGAGGUUUUAUACAGACCAGGGUCUGUGAUCAACCAAGAUGGACUGAGGAGGUUUUAUACAGACCAGGAUCUGUACCGACCCAGAACUGAACUGAGGAGGUUUUAUACAGACCAGGGUCUGUACCGACCCAGAGCUGGACUGAGGAGGUUUUAUACAGACCAGGGUCUGUACCGACCCAGAGCUGGACUGAGGAGGUUUUAUACAGACCAGGGUCUGUAUCGACCCCGAGCUGGACUGAGGAGGUUUUAUACAGACCAGGGUCUGUACCGACCCCGAGCUGGACUGAGGAGGUUUUAUACAGACAGGGUCUGUGAUCAACCAAGAUGGACUGAGGAGGUUUUAUACAGACCAGGAUCUGUACCGAGCUGGACUGAGGAGGUUUUAUACAGACCAGGGUCUGUAUCGACCCAGAGCUGGACUGAGGGGUUUUAUACAGACCAGGGUCUGUACCGACCCAGAGCUGGACUGAGGAGGUUUUAUACAGACCAGGGUCUGUAUCGACCCCGAGCUGGACUGAGGAGGAUUUAUACAGACCAGGGUCUGUACCGAGCUGGACUGAGGGGUUUUAUACAGACCAGGGUCUGUACCGAGCUGGACUGAGGAGGUUUUAUACAGAACAGGGUCUGUACCGACCCAGAGCUGGACUGAGGAGGUUUUAUACAGACCAGGGUCUGUACCGAGCUGGACUGAGGAGGUUUUAUACAGACCAGGGUCUGUACCGACCCAGAGCUGGACUGAGGAGGUUUUAUACAGACCAGGGUCUGUAUCGACCCCGAGCUGGACUGAGGAGGUUUUAUACAGACCAGGGUCUGUACCGAGCUGGACUGAGGGGUUUUAUACAGACCAGGGUCUGUACCGACCCAGAGCUGGACUGAGGAGGUUCUAUACCUGGUCUGUGUUCAACCAAGAUGGA
rnacentral:lncRNA from 1 species